AUUGAACGCUGGCGGCAUGCUUUACACAUGCAAGUCGAACGGUAACAGGCCGCAAGGUGCUGACGAGUGGCGAACGGGUGAGUAAUGCAUCGGAACGUGCCCAGUCGUGGGGGAUAACGCAGCGAAAGCUGCGCUAAUACCGCAUACGAUCUAUGGAUGAAAGCGGGGGACCGUAAGGCCUCGCGCGAUUGGAGCGGCCGAUGUCAGAUUAGGUAGUUGGUGGGGCAAAGGCUCACCAAGCCAACGAUCUGUAGCUGGUCUGAGAGGACGACCAGCCACACUGGGACUGAGACACGGCCCAGACUCCUACGGGAGGCAGCAGUGGGGAAUUUUGGACAAUGGGCGCAAGCCUGAUCCAGCAAUGCCGCGUGCAGGAAGAAGGCCUUCGGGUUGUAAACUGCUUUUGUACGGAACGAAACGGCUCUCACUAAUACUGGGGGCUAAUGACGGUACCGUAAGAAUAAGCACCGGCUAACUACGUGCCAGCCGCCGCGGUAAUAC
rnacentral:rRNA from 1 species